GCUGAUGACUCCCAAGAGCUCUUAUCGACGGAGUCGUUUGGCACCUCGAUGUCGAUUCAUCACAUCCUGGGGUUGAAGAAGGUCCCAAGGGUUCUGGUCUGUAGUCGCGGAGCUCCUCCGCCCCAUCCAUCUUCGGCAACAA
rnacentral:ncRNA from 1 species